CCAUGCAUGUCUCAGUACUAACCGCUUUAAGGCGAAACCGCGAAUGGCUCAUUAAAUCAGUUAUGGUUCCUUGGAUCUUACCCACACUUACAUGGAUAACUGUGGUAAUUCUAGAGCUAAUACAUGAACCUCGUGCCCCGACCAGUGAUGGAAGGGGUGCUUUUAUUAGAACAAAACCAAUCGGUCGGUCUUCCGUCCGUUGCCUUGGUGACUCUGAAUAACUUUUGGCUGAUCGCACGGUCCUAGCACCGGCGACGCAUCUUUCAAAUGUCUGCCUUAUCAACUUUCGAUGGUAGGUUCUGCGCCUACCAUGGUUGUAACGGGUGACGGGGAAUCAGGGUUCGAUCCCGGAGAGGGAGCCUGAGAAACGGCUACCACAUCCAAGGAAGGCAGCAGGCGCGCAAAUUACCCACUCCCGGAACGGGGAGGUAGUGACGAAAAAUAACGAUACGGGACUCAUCCGAGGCCCCGUAAUCGGAAUGAGAACACUUUAAAUCCUUUAACGAGGAUCUAUUGGAGGGCAAGUCUGGUGCCAGCAGCCGCGGUAAUUCCAGCUCCAAUAGCGUAUAUUAAAGUUGUUGCGGUUAAAAAGCUCGUAGUCGGAGGUGUGUCUCGGACGGUCGGUUCGCCGCUUGUCGGUGCUCAACUGGCCGGUCCGGACGUCCUGCCGGUGGGGCCGCGAGGCUCCGUCAUCCUUCUUUGGUCCUCUUCACCGAGUGCCUUGGUGGGCCGGCACGUUUACUUUGAACAAAUUAGAGUGCUCAAAGCAGGCCGUUGGUCGCCUGAAUACUGUGUGCAUGGAAUAAUGGAAUAGGACCUCGGUUCCAUUUUGUUGGUUUUCAGAACUCGAGGUAAUGAUUAAUAGGGACGGACGGGGGCAUUCGUAUUGCGACGUUAGAGGUGAA
rnacentral:rRNA from 1 species